rnacentral:rRNA from 1 species
CCGUAACUAUAACGGUCCUAAGGUAGCGAAAUUCCUUGUCGGGUAAGUUCCGACCCGCACGAAAGGCGUAAUGAUUUGGGCACUGUCUCAACAAUGCACCCGGUGAAAUUGAAAUACCAGUGAAGAUGCUGGUUACCUGCGCCAGGACGGAAAGACCCCAUGGAGCUUUACUCCAGCUUGAUACUGGGAUUCGAUAUUGCAUGUACAGGAUAGGUGGGAGACUGAGAACUGAUGACGCCAGUUGUCAGGGAGUCACUGUUGGGAUACCACCCUUGUAGUAUUGGAUUUCUAACCAGCAGCCGUGAACCGGCUGGGGGACAAUGUCAGGUGGGGAGUUUGACUGGGGCGGUCGCCUCCGAAAGGGUAUCGGAGGCGCUCAAAGGUUCCCUCAGAAUGGUUGGAAACCAUUCGAAGAGUGCAAAGGCAGAAGGGAGCUUGACUGCGACACCGACGGGUGGAGCAGGUACGAAAGUAGGACUUAGUGAUCCGGUGGUAUAAAGUGGGAUUGCCAUCGCUCAACGGAUAAAAGCUACCCUGGGGAUAACAGGCUUAUCACUCCCAAGAGUUCACAUCGACGGAGUGGUUUGGCACCUCGAUGUCGGCUCAUCGCAUCCUGGGGCUGUAGUAGGUCCCAAGGGUUGGGCUGUUCGCCCAUUAAAGCGGUACGCGAGCUGGGUUCAGAACGUCGUGAGACAGUUCGGUCCCUAUCCGGCGUGGGCGUAGGAUAUUUGAGAGGAGCUGUCCUUAGUACGAGAGGACCGGGAUGGACGGGCCGCUGGUGUACCUGUUGGAGUGCCAACUCCAUGGCAGGGUAGCCAAGCCCGGACGGGAUAAACGCUGAAGGCAUCUAAGCGUGAAGCCCCCCUCAAGAUGAGAUAUCCCAUAACGUCAAGUUAGUAAGACCCCUUGAAGACGACGAGGUAGAUAGGGCAGAGGUGGAAGUGCGGUAACGCAUGGAGCUGACUGUUACUAAUCGGGUGAGGGCUUGACCAA